GAUGAACGCUGGCGGCGUGCCUAAUACAUGCAAGUCGAGCGAACAGACGAGGAGCUUGCUCCUCUGACGUUAGCGGCGGACGGGUGAGUAACACGUGGAUAACCUACCUAUAAGACUGGGAUAACUUCGGGAAACCGGCGCUAAUACCGGAUAAUAUAUUGAACCGCAUGGUUCAAUAGUGAAAGACGGUUUUGCUGUCACUUAUAGAUGGAUCCGCGCCGCAUUAGCUAGUUGGUAAGGUAACGGCUUACCAAGGCAACGAUGCGUAGCCGACCUGAGAGGGUGAUCGGCCACACUGGAACGGAGACACGGUCCAGACUCCUACGGGAGGCAGCAGUAGGGAAUCUUCCGCAAUGGGCGAAAGCCUGACGGAGCAACGCCGCGUGAGUGAUGAAGGUCUUCGGAUCGUAAAACUCUGUUAUUAGGGAAGAACAAAUGUGUAAGUAACUAUGCACGUCUUGACGGUACCUAAUCAGAAAGCCACGGCUAACUACGUG
rnacentral:rRNA from 1 species